GACAGAGGUGGCAAGCGUUGUUCGGAAUUACUGGGCUUAAAGGGCGAGUAGGCGGUAAGGCAAGUCUGAGGUGGAAUCCUAUGGCUUAACCAUAGAAUUGCCUCGGAAACUGCUUUACUUGAGUCAGUGAGGGGAGGGCGGAAUUCCUGGUGUAGCGGUGAAAUGCGUAGAUAUCAGGAGGAAGGCCUGUGGCGAAGGCGGCCCUCUGGCACUGUACUGACGCUGAGGCGCGAAAGCGUGGGUAG
rnacentral:rRNA from 1 species